GAUGAAGAACGUAGCGAAAUGCGAUACUUGGUGUGAAUUGCAGAAUCCCGUGAACCAUCGAGUCUUUGAACGCAAGUUGCGCCCGAAGCCAUCAGGUUGAGGGCACGUCUGCCUGGGCGUCACAUAUCGUUGCCCAAUGCCUAUUGCAGUGCAAUAGGAAUUUCUAGGGCGAAUGAUGGCUUCCCGUGAGCGUUGUUGCCUCGCGGUUGAUUGAAAAUCGAGUCCUUGGUAGGGUGUGCCAUGGUAGAUGGUGGUCGAGUUAGAACGAUACCGAUCAUGUGCAUGCUCCCCAAAAUAUGGCCUCUAUGACCCACACGCGUCUUUUGACGCUCAUGACGAGACCUCAGGUCAGGCGGGGCUACCCGCUGAAUUUAAGCAUAUCAAUAAGCGGAGGA
rnacentral:misc_RNA from 1 species